rnacentral:lncRNA from 1 species
GGUGGGGUAUGGUCGAAAUAUACGGUUUUCCCAUAUAGGAUCAGACCAGUGGGCUAAUGGUUUUGGAAUCCUCCCUCUGGCGGUGGCCAUUACCUGAUGCUUCAGAAGCCAGGAAUGAAUUUGCACGACCCCAGCCCUUCAGAUGUCCCCUGUGGAAAAAUAGGAAAUUGGCAAGGAGGAUCAUUUCACGGAUGUGCUGAAGUUGUCAUUCCUAGAAAAUCUCUGACUUCAGCUCUGUGCCUGAUUUCACUCCCACAGCCCCUGAUUUUGCUCUGAUUAGAAAGCCUCUCAUUAAGGGCUAGGAUACCCCAAAGGUACAACUCAAACCAGGCCAAUUUCAAUACAAAGAGGUAGAAGGAAGAUUUUAUAAGAUUUCUAUUCAAAGAAGAGGAUGAAAAAGAGGCGGCAGAUCACAGAGGCAAAGUGGAGUCUCCUUAAAGAUGUUUCCUGCAUUGUUAAGAAAAGAAAUAAAAGAAAGAGGCACCCAAAUGCUUAAAGGAAU